rnacentral:rRNA from 1 species
CCUACGGGAGGCAGCAGUGGGGAAUAUUGCACAAUGGGGGAAACCCUGAUGCAGCAACGCCGCGUGAGUGAGGAAGUAUUUCGGUAUGUAAAGCUCUAUCAGCAGGGAAGAGAAUAGCAGGAACUGGUUAAAGAACCCCCGGCAAACAACGUGCCAGCAGCCGCGGUAAUACGAAGGGGGCAAGCGUUAUCCGGAUUUACUGGGUGUAAAGGGAGCGUAGACGGAAGGGCAAGCCAGGAGUGAAAUCCCAAGGCUUAACCAUGGAACUGCUUUUGAAACUGUCAAGUUAGAGUGCAGGAGAGGUAAGAGGAAUUCCUAGUGUAGCGGUGAAAUGCGUAGAUAUUAGGAGGAACACCAGUGGCGAAGGCGGCUUACUGGACCGAAACUGACGUUGAGGCUCGAAAGCGUGGGGAGCAAACAGGAUUAGAUACCCGGGUAGUC